UUAACUGUGGAGAUGGCCGUACAACUCCACAUGUAUGCUGAAAACCAUUGAGUUUUACACUUUAAGUGGGCGAAGUAUACCGUAUGUGAAUUCUAUCACAACAGAGCUGUUGUUUAAAAAAAACAACAACAACCAAUGCAAAGCUGUGCAAGGGACGUGGGAUUGGCUGUGGGAGGGAAGUUUGCUGACUAACGGAAGGUGGGAGGGACCUCAAAAGUCCUGUUACUCACUGACCUUAUUUACCAGCGGAACGCUGGGCCCGUCUUGCCCACGGGACAGGGUGAGUCAGGGGCUUGAACCCAUGUCUCCAGACCCCCCGGCCCUGCGUCCUCCCACCCCAUUACCUCCAUCCACCCUGCCCACAGCUGCCCCUUCCCCCCCCACCCCCCCGGCCCCUCCAUCCGGCAACCUUGCCUCCCUUUUGGCCGGCAGCCUGCUGAGAGGUCAGAUGACAAGAGCGACCCUCCCUUUCCCCGCGGAGAGCUCGACAGGGUGCACAGUAUGUGCACAGCCUCUGCUCCUUUAAGGCAGCGCGGCCCAGCGGGGCGCCCUGUCUGCUGUCCCGGGUGCAUUUCCGGCUCCCUCUCUCACCGGCUCUGAGCCCUUGGGGAAGCCACUCACUGCUUCUGCCAAACCUCCAUCGCCUCACCUAUGAACAGGGAAUAAACGACAGACUCUACCUCCCAGGACCGCAACGAGGAUUCACUGAGAACGUCCACGGACAGCACUUACUUCGAAUUCUUACCUGUGCACGAGGCACACGGGGGCAGUGUCGCCCCCCGUUACAGAGGGGGACGCAGAGCUGGUGGGGGUAGAGUCAGGGGGGAGAACUGCUUGGGGUCACGUGCCCAGGCUGCGAGGGGUACAUGGGGACACCGAGGCCCACUUCCUGCCCUGAAGCGCAUGGCCUGAGCCAAAGAGGGGAGAAGAUUGGGCCCCUGGCCAUCAGGCUGGGCUGAGAGGGAAUGUACAGGCCCAAACCCGGCUGUGGGACUCAGUGAAAAGUACUUGGGCUGCUUUGGGACAAGGAUCCCGGGACUGGGCGAGUGCUGGGGCCCCAGGAGGGCUCGGAACACCAGAGAAGAGGAAGAUGGAUCCCAAUUAUGGGAAUCUGAGCAAGCUGUGUUGGAGACCGAAGGGGAGUGGCCUGUGUGGGGUCAAAGAAGCUGGAUGCGCGGCCACUGGGUACAAAGGACAACUAAAGCCAGAGAAAGUCCGAGUAAGGGUGGAACCACAGCCAGAACUGGGCUCCCCUCCCUCCUGCCACCUUGGGCUGGUGAUGUCUUUCUGACCCUCAGCAAAACCUUCUAAUGUCAUGAAGACUGGUGGUCAUGGGGUGGUCAAGGGGAGUCUGGACAUUCCCCCCUUUCCUGUGCUCUUUGUACUGGUCCCAGAGGCCCGGGGCCCCUGUCCAGAGGAGGCCGCUAGGAGGCAAUAAUCAAGACAGUGACGACAACAUUAGGAUCUCUGGCAGGAGAUCUAGACCCUUCCUCCUGUGCCGCAGUCACGCUCAGGGGUCUCUGCCUGCUUUGUCUUCAUCUACAGCUGCCCUUCUUCAGUGAGUCCCCACCAGAGACCAGGCACGAUGCCAAGUUCAUCUCUUCAUUUCAGAGUGGAGAGACAGGCGCAGAGAAGUUCAGUCAGUUGCCCAAGGACUGGAGUUCCAGAAGCAAACAGUGGCAAUCAGACGACUGCUGCCUGAGACUCCAGACGGCAGGCCCGGAGGGUUUGUAAGCUCCUCGAAGACACCAGGUCCCCGGCCACCUGCCUAGGAUUCCUGCCCCCAGAGCUGCGGCCUCUGAGCCCCUGGGGCCCCUGCGGCUUCCCCUGGCACUGGGCCCAGGGCUCUGGAGACUGGGGACCAGCCCGGGGCCCUCUGGGGCUGGCCAAGGUGCUGGUGGGUGGGGUGGUUGUGACUGAGGCAGGGUGGCUCAGGGAUGCCCUGGGGAGGGAGAAGGGUCAGCCCAAGGCCGUGCAGCUCCCGAAGAGGCAGCCACCUCCCAGCCUCUGACUCUGAUCAACCCAUCUCCACUAACCUGGGUGGACAGGGGCUCCCGUCAGGACCCGAAGAGGCUGAGGUGACCAGGCCCAGACAAUCUCUGUUUCUCCCACGUCUCAAGGCUGCCUUGGAACCCGAGAAGCUUCCACCUGUUCCACACCAGCCAAGGGCAUCUGAGAAACGGAUGCAUCAUCUUUCCUGGACCGUGCUGGAAGGCUGGAUUCCUAGAAGACAGGAAUUUAUGGUGUGAGAGCUCCAGCCCCCGCAAACCCACAGCCAAGGUCAACAGCACGAGGGGGGCAGCCCUGCCAAGCGAGGAGGGGAGCAGUGACUUUGGGAGCUGGUUGCACAGAAAACCAAAGUACAUGCAUUAAAAAAAAAAAAAAAAAAAUCCCUUCUCUCCCUCACGUUCCCAAACUGGGGGCUUAAAAAAAGUCCCCCAGACUGGCCCAGACAAGGCCCCUUGUCUGGGAAGACUGAACCCGUUUGGAGACAAGUCAUGUGAAGCUGCUGGGGCGGGGGCCCAUGGAAGGCCUCGGGGUGGGUGGUGAGCAGGCUACGCAUGUGUCCCCGUCCUUCGAGCCAACCGAGGGCAGCUGAGAUGGAAAUAGGAGCCCUGGGCCCUUCAGAAAGCCCCCAACAUGACAGCCUCAUUUGCCCCCUCUCCCCUCUCCCUUCCGGAGUCAGGGGUCUUGACUACCCACACACACUGAAUGCCCAGCACCCUGGGGACCAGAGCUCCCUGUCACAAGCCCUGAGUCUCUGGCAGGAGAGAAUAAGUUUGCCCCAGCCUCCUAGGGAGCUGAGGAAGGGCCUGGAGACCACCUCGAUUCAGACUCCAACGACUGGGCGCGGGGAAGAUAGCCCCCACCCUGGUCCAGAGCCCAGGCAGGUGCAGCUAAACACCCACCGGUUAUCUGUGCACCUGACGUUUCUGAACCCCAUGGGGUUGCACCACCUGGGAAAAUACAACAAGGCAGCCUCCUGCCCUGGAGAAUCCCCGGCAAGUGGCGGGGGGGAGCACUGACACGGAAACGGAUGGCGACCAACACGUGAGGGGCUGUGGGUCCCCCCAGGGGGGGAGUGAGCACCCUGGGGUGCAGAGAAAGACAUUGGGCAGAGAAAGCUUCCUGAAGGAGGUGCCCCCAGGGGUGGCCGGAGUUCACCAGGCGGACAUCCAGUGGGAGGGGGGCUUGGAGGGAACAUUCCAGCUAAGCCCACAGCAUGUGCAAAGGCCCAGAAUGUUUAUACCUUGGUAAGACUUUUCAUAUAAAUAAAUGCUCAAAUCCAAAAAAACAAAAAGGCCUCUGGCAAACCUCAUGUCUGGGUUUCUUGCUCAGAAAAUGAAGCCCUGCUCUGCCCUGGAGACCAGGGGCCAGCAGAAGGGGGGUGUCUGACACGGCCCUCAGGUUCCCACCCCUUCCACCCCCACAGCACCACCCCAUAGACCCCCCUACAGGGUCCACCUCUCAG